CUGGGAGGAGACAGGAGGGCAGUAUCUCUAUCUCCGUGCCAAGAAGGAAGCCUCAAGGGCCAGGAGACCCUGGGGAGGGACUGUGGGGCACUAACUGAUGGGGGAUCUGGGCACUGCAUAAGCACUGACUGCUGAAAAAAACAGAAAUUCCAUCCUGUAGCAGCAUAUUGACACCCACAUGGUUCAGCAGUGGGGUUGGAGGACAGGUUUGCUCACCGUGUGCAGUAACUGUGGUUCUUCGAGAUGUGUGUCCCUUGUGUGCUCCACUGUAGGUGUAUCCGUGUCCCGAUGUCUCAGAUCAAAGAUUUUAGGACCUUUGAUAUUAGAGGAAUUGGAUGAAAGGUGUAAAGAAGACCUGUGUUCCACUGAAAGAGAGAGGCAUUUCCGAGAGAACAAUGACCCAG